rnacentral:rRNA from 1 species
AUUGAACGCUGGCGGCAGGCCUAACACAUGCAAGUCGAGCGGAUGAAGGGAGCUUGCUCCUGGAUUCAGCGGCGGACGGGUGAGUAAUGCCUACGAAUCUGCCUGGUAGUGGGGGAUAACGUCCGGAAACGGGCGCUAAUACCGCAUACGUCCUGAGGGAGAAAGUGGGGGAUCUUCGGACCUCACGCUAUCUGAUGAGCCUAGGUCGGAUUAGCUAGUUGGUAGGGUAAAGGCCUACGAAGGCGACGAUCCGUAACUGGUCUGAGAGGAUGAUCAGUCACACUGGAACUGAGACACGGUCCAGACUCCUACGGGAGGCAGCAGUGGGGAAUAUUGGACAAUGGGCGAAAGCCUGAUCCAGCAAUGCCGCGUGUGUGAAGAAGGUCUUCGGAUUGUAAAGCACUUUAAGUUGGGAGGAAGGGCAGUAAGUUAAUACCUUGCUGUUUUGACGUUACCAACAGAAUAAGCACCGGCUAACUUCGUG